AUUGAACGCUGGCGGCAUGCCUUACACAUGCAAGUCGAACGGCAGCACGGGAGCAAUCCUGGUGGCGAGUGGCGAACGGGUGAGUAAAGUAUCGGAACGUGCCCAGUCGUGGGGGAUAACGUAGCGAAAGUUACGCUAAUACCGCAUACGAUCUAUGGAUGAAAGCGGGGGAUCGCAAGACCUCGCGCGAUUGGAGCGGCCGAUAUCAGAUUAGGUAGUUGGUGGGGUAAAGGCGCACCAAGCCGACGAUCUGUAGCUGGUCUGAGAGGACGACCAGCCACACUGGGACUGAGACACGGCCCAGACUCCUACGGGAGGCAGCAGUGGGGAAUUGUGGACAAUGGGCGAAAGCCUGAUCCAGCCAUGCCGCGUGCAGGAUGAAGGCCUUCGGGUUGUAAACUGCUUUUGUACGGAACGAAAAGGUUUGGCCUAAUAAGCUGAGCUCAUGACAGUACCGUAAGAAUAAGCACCGGCUAACUACGUGCCAGCCGCCGCGGUAA
rnacentral:rRNA from 1 species